rnacentral:rRNA from 1 species
AGUGAACGCUGGCGGUAGGCCUAACACUUGCAAGUCGAACGGCAGCACAGUAAGAGCUUGCUCUUACGGGUGGCGAGUGGCGGACGGGUGAGGAAUACAUCGGAAUCUACUUUUUCGUGGGGGAUAACGUAGGGAAACUUACGCUAAUACCGCAUACGACCUACGGGUGAAAGCAGGGGAUCUUCGGUCCUUGCGCGAUUGAAUGAGCCGAUGUCGGAUUAGCUAGUUGGCGGGGUAAAGGCCCACCAAGGCGACGAUCCGUAGCUGGUCUGAGAGGAUGAUCAGCCACACUGGAACUGAGACACGGUCCAGACUCCUACGGGAGGCAGCAGUGGGGAAUAUUGGACAAUGGGCGCAAGCCUGAUCCAGCCAUACCGCGUGGGUGAAGAAGGCCUUCGGGUUGUAAAGCCCUUUUGUUGGGAAAGAAAAGCAGCAGGUUAAUACCCCGCUGUUCCGACGGUACCCAAAGAAUAAGCACCGGCUAACUUCGUG